rnacentral:rRNA from 1 species
AGGACGAACGCUGGCGGCGUGCUUAACACAUGCAAGUCGAGCGGUAAGGCCUUUCGGGGUACACGAGCGGCGAACGGGUGAGUAACACGUGGGUGAUCUGCCCUGCACUCUGGGAUAAGCCUGGGAAACUGGGUCUAAUACCGGAUAUGACCUGCUCUCGCAUGGGGGGUGGGUGGAAAGAUUUAUCGGUGCAGGAUGGGCCCGCGGCCUAUCAGCUUGUUGGUGGGUAAUGGCCUACCGAAGGCGACGACGGGUAGCCGACCUGAGAGGGUGACCGGCCACACUGGGACUGAGACACGGCCCAGACUCCGUACGGGAGCAGCAGUGGGAAUAUGCAACAAGUGGGACAAAGCCUGAUGCAGCGACGCCGCGUGAGGGUGAACGGUCCGUUCGGGUCGUAAACCUCUUCAG